GACGAACGCUGGCGGCGUGCUUAACACAUGCAAGUCGAACGGAAAGGCCCUGCUUUUGUGGGGUGCUCGAGUGGCGAACGGGUGAGUAACACGUGAGUAACCUGCCCUUGACUUUGGGAUAACUUCAGGAAACUGGGGCUAAUACCGGAUAGGAGCUCCUGCUGCAUGGUGGGGGUUGGAAAGUUUCGGCGGUUGGUGAUGGACUCGCGGCUUAUCAGCUUGUUGGUGGGGUAGUGGCUUACCAAGGCUUUGACGGGUAGCCGGCCUGAGAGGGUGACCGGCCACAUUGGGACUGAGAUACGGCCCAGACUCCUACGGGAGGCAGCAGUGGGGAAUAUUGCACAAUGGGAGGAAGCCUGAUGCAGCAACGCCGCGUGCGGGAUGACGGCCUUCGGGUUGUAAACCGCUUUCGCCUGUGACGAAGCGUGAGUGACGGUAAUGGGUAAAGAAGCACCGGCUAACUACGUG
rnacentral:rRNA from 1 species